GGAGGAGUGCGGCGAAUUGGCAAGCCAGCAGUUUGCUAAACUGUAACCGUGUAAAAAGCGGUUUGUGGGUUCGAGUCCCACCUCCUCCGCCA
rnacentral:tRNA from 3 species